AAUGGCAGAAGUUAUACAAUAGCUUGAGUUCAGAGUUACAAAGCAAUCCCCAUCUUACAAGCCUCACAAGAAUCCUAUCCCUCAGCUAUCACCAUCUACCAUAUUACCUCAAAUCAUGUGUCUUGUACUUCGGCAUAUUUCCAGAGGACUACUCAAUUAAUUGCGUAAGAUUGAUUCGGUUGUGGAUUGCUGAAGGGUUUGUAAAAUUGAAGAAGGGAAAGACACUAGAAGAGGUUGGAGAGGAAUACUUGACUGAGCUAAUUCACAGAAGCCUGGUUCAAGUGUCAAAGGUUUACAGGGAUGGAAAAGCUAGAGAAUGUCGAGUUCAUGAUCUUUUCUAUGAGGUCCUCCUUAAAAUGUGUGCGGAUUCAUGCUUUUGUCAUGUGUUAUCAAAAGACGAGUCAGCUUUUAAGCCAACAACUCGACGUCUCUCAAUGGCCAUUAGUCCCUCUGAUGCCUUGGGAAGCAUUACAUAGACUCACAUCCGUUCUGUGUUUACUUUCAACCAAAAAGAAUGGCCCGAGUCUUUCCUCAAUUCAUGGAGUGGAAACUGUAAACUUCUGAAAGUAUUGGAUCUCAUGGACGCUCCAAUCAAUCAACUUCCGAAAUAUGUGGGGGAUUUGUAUCUCCUGACGUACUUAAGCCUGAGAAAUACAAAGGUGGAGUUGCUUCCAGACUCCAUAGGCAAUCUGCAAAACUUAGAAACCCUGGAUCUAAAACAGUCUUUGGUGUAUCAAAUACCGGCCAAGAUCAAUAAGCUUGUUAAGCUGCGGCAUCUUUUGGCCUACUACCGCAACUACAACAUGGAUUUUUGCAUGAAUAGGGAAAGAGGAGUGAAGAUGCAUGAAGGUGUUGGAUGCUUACAAGAUUUGCAAAAAUUGUACUAUGUGGAGGCGAAUCAUGGAGGGAUCAAGCUAAUCAAAGAACUGGGAAAGUUGAGGCAGCUACGAAAGUUAGGACUAAAAAAAUUGAAACGUGAAGAUGGAAAGGCUCUGUGUGUUUGUAUUGAAAAGAUGAAUCACCUUGAAUCGCUAGAUUUAAGUGCAAUAAGUGAAGAUGAAGUCCUUGAUCUACAAUCCAUUUCAACUCCGCCAGAAUUUAUUCGGUCUGUGUGGUUGAAGGGGCGUUUAGAACAGUUGCCAAGUUGGAUUUCAAAUCUUCAACAACUCGUCAGAUUGGUGAUUUAUUGGUCAGGGUUGAGAGAUUCCCCAUUGAAAGCCCUUCAAAAUCUACCUAAUCUGUUGGAGCUUCGUUUCGGACAAAUGGGAUAUGAUGGCAGGCAGCUGCAUUUUGAGGAAGGAGGAUUUCAGAAACUUAGGAUUCUUGUACUCAAGGACAUGGAGGGACUAAAUUCAUUGAUCAUAGACAAAGGGGUUAUGCCUCUUCUCCAAGAGUUUCACAUUGGACCUUCCCCACAACUGAAGGAGGUGCCCUCUGGCAUCCACCAUCUCCAAAAUCUGAGACAUCUUUUGUUUUAUGGCAUGCCGAAGGAGUUUGCAAGACAAAUGGAUCCAAAUAAUGGCCCACAUUAUUGGAUUGUUAAACAUAUACGACAUGUUCGUUUUGUUUACAACUUUGGCCCGGGAAAUGGCAAAGCUGAAAGCCACUCCCUGUAUGAUUCCGACUUUUCGUUUUGGUGGAAUGCCUGAUUCCAACUUGAUAAAAAAAAUGGGAGUGUCUAAAGACUACAGGCUUAUGGGCCGUUAAGAUUCAAUUGUUAGCUCUGCUAGCCUUGGUUCUUGUGUAGAUUGACUGGGAGGGGCUCUUUCGUCUCUAUGGUUUUUUGUUUUUUUUUUUAAGUGUUGAGUCUUCUCCUUUUGUAUAUACAGAUUAAUUCAAUGACAUAUAUUCAAUAUAGUUAAUGUUUGUAUCCUGAUAUGGCACAUUUGAAAUACAUAAUAUGCAUUCGUAUAUAUAUAUCCUCGCAUGCAAAUGUAGAAAAACAAUUCUUUGUGGUUGUAAAAUUUUAUAUACUUAAUUAUAAAUGGAAUAAAAUUAAAAAAAAAAUCAAAAUUUACAAAAGAAAUACAAACACAAAAACAAUUCGGGAGCUCUGCUCUCUCUCUUCUACCCUCAUACCCUCUAGCUCUGUGUGUUUGCCGCAAGUAUGUGGGGGAUUUGUAUCUCUUAACGUAUUUAAGCCUGAAGAAUACAAAGGUCAAGUUGCUUCCAGACUCCAUAGGCAAUCUGCAAAACUUAGAAACCCUGGAUCUAAAACAGGCUUUGGUGUAUGAAAUACCAGCCAAGAUCAGUAAGCUUGUUAAGCUACGACAUCUUUUGGCCUACUAUCGUUACUGCAACAUGGGGUUUGGCUUGAAUAGGGAAAGAGGAGUGAAGAUACACGAAGGUAUUGGAUACUUACAAUCUUUGCAAAAACUGUACCAUGUGGAGGCAAAUCAUGGAGGGAUGAAGCUAAUCAAAGAACUGGGAAAGUUAAGGCAACUGCGGAAGUUAGGCCUAAAAAACUUGAAAGUGAAGCUGGACGAAGGGCUCUGGUUCUGUGCUGCUGCUAUUGAAAAGAUGAAUCACCAUCUUGAAUCUCUAGCUCAUUUUAAGUGGAAAUAAUAAGAAGAUGAAUGCCUCUCUGAGAAUUCCAUUGAUCUUUUUCCAUUUCACUCCACCAGAAUUUCUUCGGUCUCUGAUGAAGAGUCUUAGAAGGGUUUAGAGCAAGUUUGCACAGUUGGAUUCAAAUCUUCAACACGUCGUCAGAUUGGGGAUUUGUUGGUCAAGGUUGAGAGAUUCCCCAUUGAAAGCCCUUCAAAAUCUACCUAAUCUGUUGGAGCUUCAUUUAGGAAAAAUGGGAUAUGAUGGCGUGCAGCUGCAUUUUGAGGAAGGAGGAUUUCAGAAACUUAGGGAGCUAAAACUCGGGGAAAUGGGAGGACUAAAUUCACUGAUCAUAGACAAUGGUGUUAUGCCUCUUCUCCAAGAGUUUCACAUUGGAUCUUGCCCACUGAAGGAGGUGCCAUCUGGCAUCCACCAUCUCCGAAAUCUGAGAUAUCUUGUGUUUUAUGACAUGCCGAAGGAGUUUGCACAACAAAUGGAUCCAAAUAAUGGCCCACAUUACUGGAUUGUUAAACAUAUACAACAUGACGGUUUUGGUUACAAGUUUGGCCCGAGAUAUGACCAUGAAAGACACUUACUGUAUGAUUCUGACUUUUCGUUUUGGUCGAAUGCCUGAUUCUAACUUGAUCAAAAAAAUGGGAGUGUCGAAAGACUAUAGGUUUAUGGGCUGUUAAGAUUCAAUUGUUAGCUCUGCUAUCCCAGUUUCUCGUGUAGAUUGACUGGAAGGGGCUUUUUUUUUCUCUGUUUUUUUAUUUUUUUUUAUUUUUGACAUGAUGUAAUGUGGUCUACCUAGCAUUUUCCUUGUAAUUUUGUUGUUGGUUGCAAUAAUUUUUUUUUAUUAAAAAUUAAAAUAAAAAGCUAUCAUCACCCCAAACUCAAAAUGCUCAAAUGACAUGAUAAAAUUUCAUUGAAUUUUUUAUUAAUGAAUCAAGUUUUUACAGGAGAUAAGUGACAACUAUUUACCUAGUGGUUCUUUCAUAAAAAUGCUGUAAAAUAAAUAAAAAACUUCAAAUUUCUUUUAGGAAACUUUAUUAAUCUGUUGUUUCAAUUUUCAAGUCCCAACUUAAAUUGGGAAUAAUUUUUAAUUAAUUAAAGUCAAUUUUUUUAAAUUUAUAUACAGAUUAAUAAUUUUUAAAUAAAAUUGGAUUUGAUAUAAUUUGUAUUUCUUUUUAAUUUUGGAUUAAAUUAAAGAAAUUUUUGGGAGGUUGUUGAAGUGAGUCCCUUGUUGCAUCUUUCAAGACAAUUAAAAUGUAUUUAAUAAAGUUCAAAGUAAUUAUUUCCAAAAUUCAUACAUGUUUUGAGCAGAAAAUUAAUUUUUUCUUAAAAUCUAAAUCAUUUAUGGAUUAAAAGAGCUGAAAACAAAACUGUUACUUUAAAAUAGUGUUAUUAAAUUUGACUUUAUUUACUUCCAAACUUUACAAUUAACUUAAAUAUAUAAUUUGUAGAUUUCCCAAAAAAAUCAUAACCAAAUGGAGAUGAAGGAAUUGUAGCUCCACCAGUUUUCAAAGUGAAUAUAUACUAAAUGAACAAUUAAUUCCAAGCUUAUUUUGGGGUAAUGCUGGUUUCCUCCCUGUACGUAUCCCGCAUGCAAAUGUAAAAAAAUAGUUCAACUGAUGUGCAAAUUAAAAUCUAAGUCGAACUUUUCCCAAUGGCAAAACAAAGCUAGUGGAACAGCCACCAUUUCAAAAUUAUGACCGAAGGAACAUUUCUCUGCUUAGCUGCUAAGUCAGUCCUCCUCUCCUCUCUUCCUCGUCUUUCCUUUUGUUGCUGAUUUUGCCCUCUUAAAACUUGCCGCGCCUGCGAUCUGGAUGGCUGGCUGGUCAGGCUGAGCCAACGGGUGGCAACUCGAUGAUUUUGUGGUCUUGGGACUCAGGAGUUCCUUCGCAGGGCGAAGGCAGUGCCCCCAUCCCGCCUGAAUUCUUUUUGCAUUAUGGAUGACAAGGCGCUAAAACCAAUCCGAAAUUAUCGCCCAAAACAAAUAUCCAAUCUUCCAUUUCUUCUUCUUCACAUAUCAGAAUUUUCAAUUAGGGUUUCACAUGAACCUUAAUCAAAACUUCUACAUAUAUAAAUACAUAUACACAUAUAUAUUUAUAUAUAAACUCUCUCCCUCUCUCUCUCUCUCUCUCUCUCCCCCCCCUCUGUUUUGGAAUUUUGAUUUCCCGGGAAAGUUUCGAACCCAAUUUCUUAGAAAGUCCCUAAAGCUUUUCGAGGACGGGAGAAUCAGCCAUUCUCAGAUUGAACUUUUAAAUUCGCUGGCGCAUUUGCCUGAAAGCUGGUUCAGAAUGGAGGGGGAGAGAGGAUGGUGAACGAAGAAAUGGUUAGGAGGCUUUCAGGGAGAGGGACAUGGAUGAAUUGAUUGGACCCAAGAUUGAGCUACGAUUUCACUCGCCCCAGAGACAUGAAGUCGGAGGCCGAGAGGCAGAGACUAGUGGGAGGCUGUCAGCAGGAGGUCAGCAGAUCAGGUUAUCAGUUCUCGCGUAAGCGAUUUCAAAAACAUUGUAUUGAAUUUUGUGAAUGGUAUAUACAUCAUAAGACAAUCAGGUACAAGAGAUAGCAAAUAUAUAUAUGCUAGAGGGAAUAAAACAAGACUACCUAUCCCUCCUUGAUUUACGUCUAAAGCUAACAAAAAAAGAACAAAUAAGACACAUCCCUUGAAUUAAGGGAAUUGACAACACUAUCUAUCACCCUAAAAUCCUUUGUACGGUGAACAUGCAACCUAAUCUAACCUAGUUGCCAUUCUUUCUUCCAAUACCCCCUCAAGCUGGAUCAAAGGGAUUAAUUGAUCCAUUGCAAAAGAACAACUUAAGCUGCUGAAAUUAGCAGAGAAGGUUAAUCCUUUUAUGAAAAUAUCCGCAAGUUUAUCAUGACUGCGCGUGUAGUGAGUAUCGAUCACCUUGGACUGAACUUGAUUUCUGACGUAGUGACAAUCAACUUCAAUAUGUUUAGUUCGCUCAUGGAAAUACAGGAUUCGAUGCGAUGUGCAUCGCGGCCUGAUUUAUCACAAUGUAGGGACAUGGGUUGUUGAUGGGAAAACCUAAAGCCAACAGAAGGCUUUUGAGCCAAAUAAGUUCACAGCAGUCAGUCGACGCAUAUACUCUGCCUCUGCACUAGAGCGUGUGCAACAACACUUUUGUUUCUUGCUUUUCUAGGUAACUAGGUUGCCUCCCACAAACGUACAAAAACCAGUGGUAGACUUGCGAUCGAGAGAAUUGCAUGCCUAGUCAGCAUCGGUAUAGCCUGAGAUCUAAGUGUGACUAUUGUUGCGCAUAAGAAUUCCUCUGCCAAUGGAACCCUUAAGAUAACGUAGCACACGAUGAACAAUCUUCAAAUGAUCCAUGCUUGGAAAGUGCAUAAAUUGGCUAACAAUGCUAACAGCAUAUGAUAUAUCAGGACGUGUGAUAGUCAGAUAAAUGAGUUUGCCAACCAUUCUUUAAUAGUAAUUAAAUUGGAAUUGGACACCGUGAGUUUUUAGCUUCAAGUUGCUAUCCAAGGGGGUACGAGCAGGCUUGCAAUCUGUCAUUUUUGCUUCGUGAAGAAGAUCCAUCACAUACUUGCGUUGGUUGAGGAAGAAACUCUUGUGAGAGUGCGCCAUCUCGAUGCCCAGAAAGUAUUUGAAAGUGCCAAGAUCCUUGAUAGCAAACUUGUUGUUGAGAUACUGUUUAAGAGCAUUAAUCUCUAACAUAUUAUCACCUAUCACAAUUAGAUCAUCAACAUAAAUGAGCACAACUAGUUUACCCACUGAGCUGGAACGAACAAAUAGGGAAGAAUCCGCAAUACUUCAACAAAAACCAACCCUUUCCAGAACAUGACUGAGCUUGGCAUACCAUGCACGUGGAUUUUGCUUGAGACCAUAAAUGGAUUUAUGGAGUUUGCACACCAUUUCUGGAUUGUUUGAUUGAGGAUGGCCUGGGGGUAACUUCAUGUAAACCUCAUCUUCAAGUUCACCAUGCAGGAAAGCAUUUUUAACAUCCAUUUGAAAGAGAGAUCAUGCAUUGUUAAUUGCAACCGACAACAAUACUCUAACAGUGUUCAUUUUUGCCACCGGAGCAAAUGUCUCUUUAUAAUCGACGCCAUAGGUUUGUGUAAAACCUCGAGCAACCAAGCGAGCCUUAUUCCUUUCGAUUGUGCCAUCUGAAUGAAACUUAGUUUUGUACACCCAACGACUCCCCACUGCCUUCUUUCCUUUUGGAAGUUUCACUAUAGUCCAUGUGUUAUUUUCAUAGAGAGCUUGAAGCUCCUCUGCCAUAGCAUUUCUCCACUCACUGUGAAGAUUGGCUUCUUGAAAACUUUGAGGUUCUUAAGCUUCAUUAAUGGCACUUAGGAAUGUAGCAAAAGAAGAUAAGACUUUGCUAUAAUCAAUAACAUCAGUCACGGGAUACCUGGCAGCGUAGGUCACAUAAUCAUACAACUUGGAUGGAAGUUUCCUCUCUCGUGCAGGAUUGCGACGAACUGUAAGAGAUUGAACUACAGGUAUUUGAACAACAUCAUGGUUGGAAGGAUCACUGAAGGGUGCAGUGUGAAUCUCCGAUGAGGAAGAGGUUUCAUCUUCAAGAUGUUCCACCGAGUGAAGAUUAACAUCAUCCGGCACAUGAUCACUAGGAGUGCAUGUUGCAUCUUCUCCGUUUGGAUAUGGAAAAGGAAAUAAGUCCAUCAAAUGCUCCCCCUGUCUAGAGUAAUCCAGUGAUUGUGAGAAGUAAGGAACAUGUUCUUCAAAUUUAACAUCCCUUGAAACAACCAUUUUUCUAGUUGUUGAAUUAUAGCACUUGUAACCUUUUUAGGUAGAUGAAUAACCUAGAAAGACAUAUUUGGCAGCCCUUGGGUCUAGCUUGUCAUGAUUUUGAACUUGAAUGUGAACAAAACAUGUACACCCAAAGACUCUCAAAUGGGAAAAGUUGAUCUUUCUAUUUUUCAAGACCUCAUAAGGUGAUUUAAAAUUCAACACUUUACUAGGCAAUCUAUUGAUGAGAUAUGCCGCAGUAAGAACUCCUUGAGACCAAAACUUCUUAGGCACAUUCAUGUGAAACAUAAGAGCUCUAGUCUUCUCAAGUAGAUCUCUAUUCUUCCUCUCGGCCACCCCAUUUUGUUGAGGUGUUCCAACACAGCUUGUUUGGUGUAAUAUACCAUGCGUGCUCAAGUAGUGUGACAUGUUAUGAGACAUAUAUUCUGUGCCGUUAUCUGAUCGUAAAAUAUGAAUUUUUGAAGCAAAUUGGGUGGCCACAUGUCUAUGAAAAUCUUCAAAAACUUCCAUCACUUCACUUUUAAAUUUCAAAAGAUACAACCAAGUAAUCCUUGUGAAAUCAUCCACAAAAGUUACAAAAUAUUUGUAUCCAUCAAAAGACUCUAGAAUUGGUCCCCAAACAUUGGAAUGCACGAUUUCAAAAGGAUUACUAGCCCUAGACAAAGAGGAAGUAAAUGGUAAUCUAGUAAACUUAGAAAAAUGACAAACAUCACAAGGACUUGUAACUUUGCACAUGUUUGGGAACAAGGUGGAUAGAACUUUUUCAGAAGGAUGUGCUAGACGUUGGUGCCAAAGUUGUUGUUCUUGAGCUAAGCUUGAAGUGACUUGAAAAACCUUGGGAACUUGAAUAUGCUUGGAAAGAUAGUAGAGACCAUUUAAGAAAAAUCCUUCACCAAUCGUCUUCUUGGUGACUACAUCCUAAAAGAUCACAUUUUUGGGAGAGAAAAUGACAAGACAAUUUAAUGAGUUUGUGAUCUUGCCAACAGAUAAAAGUUGAAAAGGGAAUGAGGGAACAUAAAGAGCCUCAUACUCGACAUCACUUGAGAUCAAAUGUAUUUUUCCUUUUCCCACAACCAUAGCAUUUUUUCCAUUGGCAACUGACACUAGAGAUGGAAUAGAAAAAUUUUCAAAUUUAUGCAAGUUUGUAGACUUGUUAGUAUAUGAUCAGGGGCUCCAGAAUCUAUAAUCCAAUAAUCAUGCACAUUACCAAUAUUGAGAGCAGUUGAGAAUGAGUGUAAGAUACCUAGGAUGUCCCUUUGUACCACGCCUUCAUUUCCAGCCAGGAAGCCAGCAAACUAUCCUAGUAUUGCAGUUUGAUUGUUGUCACACUGAUUUAGUGGUCCUUCACUAUCUCCAAGACCUUGUUUCUUGUGAAGAAACAUAGCAAACUCGUUGAUCAAUGCAGCUAGAUUAAUGGUGAACUUCAGUGCUCCCUCAGAAGCAGUUGUGGCAACAUGAUUUGCCUUGUAAAAAGGGUUGUACGAGCCUUUCGAGACACCUUUAUUAUCCCAAUACAUUGAGGGGAAACUUUAAACUUCUGAAAGUAUUGGAUUUCAUGGAUGCUCCAAUCAAUCAACUUCCAAAAUAUGUGGGGGAUUUGUAUCUCUUGACGUACUUAAGCCUGAGGAAUACAAAGGUGGAGUUGCUUCCAGACUCCAUAGGAAAUCUGCUAAAUUUAGAAACGCUGGAUCUAAAACAGUCUUUGGUGUAUGAUAUACCAACCAAGAUUAAUAAGCUUGUUAAGCUGCGGCAUCUUUUGGCCUACUAUCGUGACAAUAACAUGGGUUUUUGCGUGAAUAUGGAAAAAAGAGUGAAGAUUCAUGAAGGUAUUGGAUGCUUACAAGCUUUACAAAAACUAGGCCAAGUGGAGGUGAAUCAUGGAUGAAUCAAACUAAUCAAAGAACUGGGAAUGUUAAGGCAGCUGCAGAAGUUAGGCCUAAACAACUUGAAAGGGGAAGAUGGAAGGGCUCUGUGUGCUUCUAUUGACAAGAUGAAUCACCUUAAAUGUCUAGAUUUAAAUGCAAUAAGUGAAGAUGAAGUCCUUGAUCUAGAAUCCAUUUCAACUCCACCAGAAUUUAUUCGGUCUCUGUACUUGAUGGGGCGUUUAGAGCAGUUGCCAAGUUGGAUUUCAAAUCUUCAACACCUCGUCAAAUUGGGGAUUUAUCUUUCAAGGUUGAGAGAUUCCCCAUUGAAAGCCCUUCAAAAUCUACCUAAUCUGUCGGAUCUUCGUUUGGGACAAAUGGGAUAUGAUGGCGGGCAACUGCAUUUUGAGGGAGGAGGAUUUCAGAAACUUAGGAAGCUAAAACUCGGGGAAAUGGAGGGACUAAAUUCACUGAUCAUAGACAAUGGGGUUAUGCCUCUUCUCCAAGAGUUCCACAUUGGACCCUGCCCACAACUGAAGGAGGUGCCGUCUGGCAUCCACCAUCUCCGAAAUCUGAGAUAUCUUUGGAUUUAUGACAUGCCGAAGGAGUUUGCACAACAAAUGGAUCCAAAUAAUGGCCCACAUUAUUGGAUUGUUAGACAUAUACGACAUGUUGUUUUUAGUUACAAGUUUGACCCAGGAUCUGGCGAAUAUGAAAGACACUCCCUGUAUGAUUCCGACUUUUCGUUUUGGUCGAAUGCCUGAUUCCAACUUGAUAAAAAAUAUGGGGGUGUCUAAAUUGUUAGCUCUGCUAUCCUUGUGUAGGUGUGGUGUGGUCAUUUUAACAUUUUCAUUGUAAUUUUAUUGGUGGUUAUAAUAAAUUGUUUUUUUAAUUAAAAAUUAAAAUAAAAAGCUAUCAUCACCUCAAACUCGAAAUGGUCAAAUGACAUGAUAAAAUUUUAUUGAUUUUUUUUUAUGAAUGAAUCAAGUUUUUACAGAAGAUAAGUGGCAACUAUUUACCUCGUAUCUUUGCUGUAAAAAUGAAUAAAAACCGUUCAAAUUUUUGUGGGUCUUGUCCCUUGAUCAACAUUUCAAUUAACUGAGAAAAGUAAUAAGAUUGAAGAACAUGAUUUAGUAAAUUCAACUUAACCUAAAGAUCCAUAUUUUUUUCUAUUUACCAAUUCUUUACUAUUUUAUUUUCUUGAUAUUAAUUUGUAGGAUUGUGGAUUUUAGAAAUUUUGUUAACCAAAGGGUAGAUUGUGAAUUUUAGAAAUGUGAAGUGUAAAGCCUUCUCCUUUUGCAUAUACAGAUUAAGUCAACCACAUAUAUUUAUUAUAGUUAAAUAUUCAUGAUAUGAUAUAUUUGGAAUGACACACCCCGAUCCUAGAAUCAAGACGUUUUGGCCGUCACGUGAGCGUGACGUAACCAAGAAUGCGAUGCGGAAGCAUAAAGGAUAGACGAAAAUACGAAUGAAUAAAAACCAACUACUAGCACUAAUAACCAACUAGCAUACUAGAGUGAGUUUAAGUGUGAAACACACAUGUUCAGAGCAUAAGUACUAGGUACAGUCAAGUAGGAACAUUACUAAAUUACAACACCCGAAGGUGAGUCCUACAUGCAAGUAGUCUGUCAGAACGUCGUGGGAAAAUCCUCGUGAGCCACCAACACAGCUAACUAGAACCUGGAUGGGCGCAAAACAAGAUUGAGUGGGUCAAUAAAACAAAGCUUUUCGAAAACAUUUCAUUUAAUAACAUUUCUAACCCCUCGCUGUAAAACCUGUAUACUUUCCCAGAAAAUAACAUAAUAUGCAUAUAAAUCUUCAAAUAUCUCAAUUCACCAAUCUUUAUCAAAAACCAGAAAGUAUGCCAUGCUGUAAGUGUCAAUAACAGAAUAAGGAUGCAUCAAAAUAACAGGUGAAAUAAGGAAUCAAUCGGAGACCCUGCAGCUGUCCUGUACGGUCAAUUCUAUAGCUCAAUAUCCAAUCCAAUCGGAGUCACCACUGUGACCUGUACGGCGCUACUCUGCACAUAAAUCAGAACUACCUAAAGUAGUCUGUACGAUAAGAAUGAUGUAAGACUACGCUCUAGUGCUUCUCUCAUCAACAACUGUAUAAUAAUCUAAGAUCAUCUAUAAGUCGGAACCACCUCUAAUGGUCUGUACGACAUGUCAGAACCCUCUAAUGGUCUGUACGACAUGCACCUACUUGGAUCCAAGGUGAGCGUGUGGUGCGGGGUGAAUAAUAUAAGCACUAACACCAGGGGUGCAUGUUAUGAGCUCUCAACACAAUUCACAUCAUCAAUAAAUCGUAUGAACAAUAUAAACUCACAUGAUACUCACCUGUGCGUCCACAUCACCAUUUAACAUAUAUAUGCAACAAUUACUAAUUCAUAUAUUUCAUAUAUAUGUAUGCAUGGCAUUUUAAAACAUACUUUCAUUUAAAUUCAAUUUCUAGGAAAAAUCAAUAGUAUAUAGGUAAAUACAGAAAAUACUGCCCACUCACUGGUAAGUCGAAGGGUCGUAACCCCCGUGACGCCCUUGAACGCGCUCGUCCUCGAGAUAGGUCUCACAUAUAUACGAAACAAUUAUAAAAACGUUAUUUAAAUCAUAUAACCAACAAUACGUAAUAACUUCUCAUACGAUACUCAAAUUGGGUAUAUGAAUAUACCAUAGUGACCUACUCAACGUCACGAACGUCGAGGUAUUUUUAGAAAAAAAUUUCAAUGCUGCACGCGCCCCCAUGCGCGUCACCUUCUUCCUCCAGUCGCCGGAUUGGUUUUGUCGGCGUCAGAAAACUGGAGAUUUUUCAAACUCCAAUUUCUCCGUCGAUUCUCCACCAUUUUUUACAAAAUUUACAUCAAAAUGAAACCCUAAGCAUGUAAAAUCACGAUAUACUACUUUAAGGCUAAAAAACAAACGAAAUGUCACCGGAGAAAAUCCAAGAAAACCGGCCAACUUCGAACCCUACGAUCCCGACGUCCAAAACCUUCAAACUAAGUACUACAAGCUUCCUUAGGACCUCACUAAGCUCCCUGUAAUCUUAGAAUUCCCUGAAAAUCAACAUUUCACAUCCACAUGAACAGUACUCAAAACUUGGGGUUCGGGUUUCAGGGGUUUUCGAAGGUUCUAAGUUCCAAAAAUGGUACCAAUGAACUCACAAGCUUUCAAGGAUUCUAAAACUCACCUUUUUUACGUCGAUCCGUGAUGUUUUGAGGGAUUUUGGUGCUCGUCCGUACAAUUCAAAGGGAGAGAGAGAGAGAGAAACUGAGAGGGAAGAGAGAGAGGGCACGGGGUGAGUGUGUUGUCCCGUGUGUGUGUGUGGUCCACCCAAAACAAACCAUAAUACAAAUUCCUUGAAGUCCCUAACCACACAAAUUGUAUACAACUUUUAAUCCACUUAAAAUUUUCCAAUAAUUUAGGAGAGUAUGCAAUAUUCAAACAACAUGUCACACGUACCUUAAUAGCCUUUAAGGGCACUUCCGUCAUUUCACAUCCACGAUAAAUAAAUUUCGGGUCGGGCUGUGACAUGGAAUGCAUAAUAUGCAUUUGUACAUGUAUCCUCGCAUGCAAAUGUAGAAAAAUAGUUCUUUAUGGUUGUUAAAUUUGAUAUACUUAUUUACAUAUGGAAUUAAAAUUAAAAAAAUAAAAAUAAAAAUUGCUUAUUGGCUUAUUUGGCUUGAAAAUUACAAAACUUGAGAUUCUUAUGUCAUUUAGUCUAAACAUUCUAAAAUUAACCAGCUCAUCAUAGUAUCAAAAUUCAACUGCUAAAGGUAACUUUAGAUGCAUCCUAUAAGUCUAUACCCUUAAAACUCCCAUUUAGUUAGGCACAACGAACGAACAUGUAAGGUGAGGGCCCACAAAACAAGCGUUUUGGGGUAGAGGAAUGGAGCCCACCAUUUCGAUUAAGGUUUCACAUCAAGCUUAAUCAAAACUUCUCCGUACAUAUACAUACACAUAUUUAUAUAUAAUCUCUCUCUCUCCUCAUCUGUUUCGGAAUUUUGAUUUCCCAGGAAGGUUUCGAACCCGAUCGUUUCGUCGGAAGUCCCGAAAGCUUUUUGAGAACGGGAGAAUCAGCAAUGGAAUAAGACAUUCCAGAAUAUUAUGAUAUAAAUUACUUUUAAAAUUCGCUGGCUCAUUUGCCUGAAAGCUGGUUCAGAGGGAGGGGGAGAGAGAGAUGGUGGAGUUCGUUAGGGAGGCUUUCGAGGGGGGAGAAAUUGACAUGGACCAUGAAUUCGAUGCGCCCAAGUUCUUCGAUUUCACUCGGCCGGAGACUGGUCUGGAGGCCGAGGAGGCGGAGGAAUGGUUCCUGUCAGGAGGUUAUCAACCCUCGCGUAAGCGAUUUCAAAAACAUUGGUUUGCUGUUCUCCUAGUCAUGUCCCAAAACAACGAAUUUUUUGAUCAUUUUCUAUGCUUACCACAUCAAUUGAUCAUCGAUUUUGCUAAUUCAUUUCAAUAUCUGUAUGUUUAGUUCAUGCAUCUUAACUAUAUUACAUUGUUUACGUGAACAAGUUAGAGAUUAAGAGAAUUAUAAUUAUUUGUAAUUUGAUAAAUUAACCACUAACUCUGUUUUCUCUUCGGUUAAUUGUCCCUUGUUUAAAUCCAUUAGCUUUCCUUGAAAAAUUGUUGAAUUGGCAAAAAGGGAUUCAUCCGGAACCUGUAAAAAACUCCGCCGAACCAAAAGACGUUGAAGAAGUUGAAGUUAUCAGAUGUAUUGACUCAAAUAAUUGCAUGGAAGCGGAGGUCUCUGCAGUAGUAGACGAUAAUAUUAGAGGUACAUUUUCAUUUUUUACUACUGUGUACUUCUGCAUCAUCUUCCCAUUUCUUAUUAAACUUUCGAAUUGAUAAUAUUAUUUCUGUUUUCUAAAUCGGCUUCGCAUGAAUUAGUAUACGAAGUUGUUUCUUACUGUCAUGUUUUAUGGUGUUUCGACACGAUUAGAACUCCCUAUUCACAUGGCUCAAGACACUCCAAGCGCUAAACCAAAGUCCCCGGGCAAGUCACCACCUCUAUCAAGGAGUUCAACGCUAAUGAAACCCACGGCAAGUCAGCUGGCCAAGCAAAAGCACCGCCGAGAAGUUCACUCCAACCGGUUAUUAAGGAGGUGCUAAUUUUUUUUGUCUCAGAUGAUAUUUCUGUUGUCAUCAAUGUAUUUUUGGCUCUAAUUGUUUGGUGUUUCCUCUAACUAGUGCCUUUUUCUGACUCUUGAUUACACAGAGUGGCGAAAAAGCUCGGGAAACUUGAUGAGAAAUCACAGAAUUCUCCACCACCUACGAAAAGACAGAAGUUGGAGGCUGGCUAUGUACGCAAGGUGCACUUGAACAUUUUUUCAUUUGAUAGUUUUUGCAUCUCUGAUCUGUUUGAUCUUUGCUGAAUCGCGUACUUUAUUAUGAUCGAUAUGAGGUUGUUACACUCAAGUCGAAUAGCGUAUUUAAUCCACCCAGUUGCGAUUAACGAAGUUCAAUAGUUUAUGAACCUUUCAUAAGAAUUUCUGAAGGGCUCUCUGUGCAUCUGUGAAGCAGGUUGCUGAACAGCUCAAGCAUCAACCUCUUUGGUUAUACAAGGUGCCGAAAAAGGUAACCCACAUUUUACGAAAACAAGGUUAUGUGCUUUUGAUCGUGAAAAGAACAUUUUUGUUUCAUCGAAAUAAGAGAAAAAUAGUUUUUCGUGGUGUCAUGCAGGUCGGAGCUGAUGCUGCCAGACCUAAAGUUACCGUUUCGAAGGAACCAAAUUUGGAAACAGCAAAUAGAGCACAAAGACGUAGGUACAUUCACUUCUUGCAUGAUUUUGGUAAAAUUAAUAUUUUGUUUGAUGUAUGAAUGUCUACCUAAUGAGCUUAUAACACUGAUUCAGGUAUAAGGUUAAUGCCAAACCAGGAGAACAAUCAAAAGCAAGUUCAUACUCCUUUUAACGUUCAAAUUGAAAUUGUUCAUUACGCUUUGAACACGUUUGAGUUUAUUCGAUUUUCUGCUCUUUUAUUUCUUUGAUAUUUUGGUCUGCAGAUUCACAGGGCUCCUCCAUGGCCUAGCCCGAAAAAGAGCACAAUUCCAGCAACAGAGUUUCAGGUAAUCAUAGAACAUUGUACCGUAUUUCAUUGUAGUGUCUUUGCGAGGGAGAGAAACCUCAGCAAAAGCUGCCCUAGUUAAGCUGUGUGAUUCGGAUGAGACCAAAAUACAUAAAUAUUUAACGACAAGGCCAGCCGCUCCUACUGAAGUUUUCUCUUAGCAAAAUGACUUGACUUGCGGUAACAAACGCAUUUCAUAACGUUCUUAAUUCUAUUGCCAUCAGGUGUUUUGCCUUCCAACAUCAGCGCGAGCUAUGUAACAGACAUGCCAUCAUCACGUAACCCUCCAAAACUUGUCCGAUUAUUUGAAUUUGAACUUUAUUAAUUUUUUGUGAAUUCUUACGACGAAAUAAUAUUGUCACUGCAGGUAACAAAUGGACCUAAUUCUAGUUAUUUAUCAGAAAAUGAGACUACAGAGAUCGAAAGGUAACUAUCUCUGCCUUUUAGCUUUUCAAAUGAAUCCCAUCUUUUGUAAUGUCUGUAUAGUUUUACCUUGCACUCAUGGAAUUUUUCCAUCUUCAAAUUUGAUAUUUACUUUUAAGGUUAAUAAUUUCAAUAGUAAAGAAAAAGGCGAUCCCAAGCCAACGAGGCUUCCCGCUUUACGAAGGUCGAGGGAACGUCUAUCGUACGCGGAGUUAUCCAUGCUUUGCAAAGAGGUUGUUUCUAUAAAUCAAACCCGUGACAUUUCGCUCACAAAUGAGUAAUCUUUCCGUUGCGUCAAGGCUCGCCCUCAAUAAUUCCAAUUAUAAACCCUUAAAUCAAGAAUCAAAACACUUUUGAUUCUUGUUCUAUGUAAGUAAACAUGUCACCGGAUGAGAAUCGUUGCAGCUAUCUAAAUGUUUUGAUAUUACUGUUUUGCACAGGUCAAACUCUGUGUAUGCCUUAAAGCUGGAGAAAAGUGGAAUGGUUUAUAAAUGCGUAGCUUGCUCUCUUAAAACUAAGGUAAUCUAACUCUGCCUCUUUUUUUUUUGUUUUUUAAUGUGCAUAAUCUUAAUGCCAUGCUUUAAAGCAACAAAAUUUUGAAAAACUUAAACUAACUGGUUGAAAAACUUUAACUAACUGGAAGUCUUAAUUGUUUCAGUAACUUUCCAGAUCCGGUCUAUAACUACAGGAACAUCUUCUAGAGUCAAAGUAGUAAAACAACAUCUGAACAUCCUGGUUCUAUAUAUGCAGUGGCAGGCUGAACCAGAACUCACAUUGAUCUCGGCAAUGUUCAACAGCUCAUCCCGUAAGUUCCCCUUUCUCACCAUAGUAGCGAACCAACCCCCUCAUUUCAGCCCAACUAUAAACCAGCACUGCUCUUUGCACACUUGAUGUCGGUCGCUCUCCUUUUUCGUGCAUGCGUUACACGCAUUUGCAGCUUAUGUCGGUCGCUCUCCUUUUACAUGCGUGUGUUACACGCGCUUGACAUAAGAAAAAAAAAAUUGUAAUGGCGUUAGCAUGACGUUAUGCUGACAUCAGCGUGUCCGCUAAUGCAAGAUCGGGCUUCUUUUUCUUUUGGACGGACUUUGCACGGCGCACCAGUUGCCCUUGCAAAAUUGGACAGCUGGAAAUGAUUAAAUGGAUUGGAGGGCAUGUUUUGGGUUCUUAUCCUUGCCUCUACCAACCGAUGAACAUGCUCCAAAGUCAAGAAAUUGUUGUAAAAAGAGGUGGAAUAAUGCCCUUAACUGGUAUUGUAAUGUGGUGGAAUACUUUGUUUAUGUAAAUUUUGAAAUUAUCAGCUGUAUGUCAGAAUUUUUAAUUUGAUAAUUUGAAAGGCUUCAUGAAUUAUAAAGAGGCAGUUGUUUUGUUGGUGAUUUUUAAAAUUAAAGUUGGGUAGGUGUUGAUGCAAAACCAGAGAUAACCCGUUGGCUUUGUUAAAACAAAACAUGCAAUUUACUAGACAAUCCCAGUUGGCGGCAAUGGUUCGCUUGGAGUUCAGAUCUGCUAUGCCCAACCACUCUUUGUCCGCAUCCUCUGUUGACAAGUGUUUUCUAACACUGUCAGCGGGAGAACGAUGACAAAGGGUGGGCCGAGGAAAAUUGGACACAACAAAUAUGAACUCGUUGAUUUUGUUUUAAUUGUUGACCUGACCUAUUGCAACUACAUCUCAACUCCCAGCUCAGCUAUACGUACAUUGUACAUUGUUGACCACCUCUCUAACUCGAAUUCUCAUUCUCAUUUCUCACCGUAGGGAUAAGAGCAAUUUAAUCUGCUCAUAUAUCAGCUAAAUCCAAGGUAUAAACCAGCACUGAUUAAUUACUGAGCAAUUUAAUCUGCUCAUAUUUAAGCCAAAUCCAAGAUAUAAACCAUCACUGAUUAAUUACUGAGCAAUUUUAUCCACCAGUUUUUGUGUUGGGAGAAGACAAGGGGGGGGGGGCGGGUUUUGUGUUGGGAGGAGAGAGGGGGAGAUAAUAAAUCGUCUUUAUUUUUUACUUUAAACAGUAAUUUUUUUUGUUUUAAGUUCUUUUGUUUAGGAAGAAGAAGAACCAGGGUGAUUAUUAUUUACAAUUUUUUUUUUAAUAUUUGGUAUGUGUGUUGAACUUUGUACCAUUUUACCUUGUCACUCAUUUUUUUUGCAACAAAAGGAUUUGUGAAGUGGAAGAAAAAUAUAGGAGAUUGUAGAAAAAAUAAAGGAAGGUGCUAUUCAUACACACAUCUGUACCUCCCACACACUCUUAUUAGUCUUUUUUUAUUGAUCUUCUUCAAUUUAUUCGAUCCGAUAGCUAAAAAUUGAGAGAUGUGUGUGAGAAGCAAAAAUAGGUGCGUGAAUAGCACUAUCUAAAAUAAAUAUUGAGUUGUGGUGUGGUGAAUGAAGAAGGUGGUUAGGUAUUUUUAUUUUUGGUAUUUUUUUGGAUUUGUUAUCUUGGAUUAAUCCUGACCAUUGAUUUUCAAAAUUAUUGUCGUUGGAUGCCAGAGAUUUCUCCAUGUGGCAGCAGAAGAAAAAAUUCAAAAUGUUGUACUGUUUGAAAUCCAACGGUUCACAGCAAGCCACGUCAGCGAGCUGUUGGGGCUCUGCUGUUGGUUUGUUGCUGCGUGGCCUACUAUCCCUGCAGCUGAUAUUUUUCACCCUCCUUUCGGCACACGUGUUACACGUACCUAACAGGAAAAGAAAAAAUAUCGUGACUGGCGUGAGCAUGAUGUUAUGCUGAUGUCAGCUUGCCCACUGACGCAAGGUCAGACUUCUUUUGCUUGGGCAAUUAGACGAGCCAUGUACAACCCACCAAUUGCGCAUCCUCGUAUCCAUAAAAGAAAAAUCGAUAAUAUCGGUGAAAUAUUGUCGAUAUUAUCGUUUUUUUAGAGAUCAGAUAUUUUUUUAACUUUCCAAAUAAUUUUUAUCAAAAUAUCAAGAUAUUAUCGAUAAUAUCGCGAUAUUUUUGAAAUUAUCAACAAUAUCACCACAUAAUACUAAAAAAUACUUAAAUAUGUUGAGAAAACUCAACACAUACUUCACUUGACCAUAGCCCAAAAGACGAACAAGAUAUGGUUUACUGAGUAGGGGAAUGUGGGUUUUAUAGGACAAAUUGCGAGGGCAGCAAGCAUGGGCAAUGUGGGACUCUCCCAAUAGGAGAAAAUCAGAAUUUCGGCCGAAAAUUUACACCUACUUUAAACGGCCAUAACUUUGUCAAAACUCAACGAAAUCAAGCAAGAAAAAAACGAAAGUUGUAGCCCUCGAAGAGAAGAAGAGAAUGGUACCUCACACGACGUCUGAAUCAUCGUGGUUUGGCCGGCAAAUGCCUCGAAAGUCACUGAGAUCGCCGGAAACUGGGUAAGAUUCAAAUGAGUAUAACUUUUUUAAUACUCAACGAAAUUGAGUGAAACAAAAAGGAAAGUUGUACUACUCGACGAGACGAAGAGAUUGAUGCCUUGCACGCCGGCCAACUCGCCGUGGUUUGGCUGGAAAUUGCCUCGAAAUCCACUGAGGUCGCCGGAAAUUGGGUAAGAUUCAAAUGAGUAUAACUUUUUCAAUACGCAACGAAAUUGAGUGAAACAAAAAGGAAAGUUGUAGCCCUCGAAGAGACGAAGAGAAUGGUACCUCAUACGACGUCUGACUCGUUGUGGUUUGGCCGGAAAUUUCCUCGAAAGCCACUGAGGUCGCCGGAAACUGGGUACGAUUCAAAUGAGUAUAACUUUUUCAAUACUCAACGAAAUUGAGUGAAACAAAAAGGAAAGUUGUACUACUCGACGAGACGAAGAGAUUGAUACCUUGCACGCCGGCCAAAAUUCAAUUGACACACUCCUGGCUUCCAAAAUUCAAUUCUUUUACUUUAUAUAAACUUGAAAAAACAUAAUCGGCAUCCAAAUUAAAGUUUAGUCUUGUUCUUAUGUGUAAGAAAUUUAAAGUGUCAAAUUCGGCACAUUAUUUUUCAUCAUUUUAUUCACUUCCCUUUUUUUUUUAAUAUCCUAAAUAAAACCUCCAAAUAUUGUACUAAUUAAUUAUAUAUAAAUGAUUAUGGUGUGUUUAAAUUUCUUUCAUUAAUUACUACAUAUUUUCUACACUCACAAUGUUUGCCAGCUCGCUAUAUAAUCAACUUAAAUCAGUUAAAUCCAUCAUGCAAUGCAUUUCCUUCCAAUUUUUUGUGAUAAACUAAUAGAUAAUUGACUAAAUAAACAUCCUACAAAGUUUCAUUAAAAAUUUCCAAGUUUUUCUUACAAUUUCCGUGGUUUCCAUGUAAUUUUUAUCGAUAUCGAUAUUAUCCCGAUAUUUCCAUCGAUAUUUCCGUGUUUUCGGACUACCGAUAUUUCCGAUAUUACCGAUAUUUUCUUCCUUGCUCGUAUCAUAACGAUUUUGACUUUGAGAUGGUUGAUUUUGACUUCUUGCGAUGUUGUCUUGAUGACGAAGACGACGAUAAUGAAAUGAUUAUUUUUCUUUUUUUUUUUCUAUUAUUUUUAGUAAGAAUUAAUUUCAAACUCUUUUUCUUUAAGAAUAGGAUUAUCUCCCUUUCUAUUUUCAUCUAUUUCCCUCCCCUCCUCUCAUAUAUUGUUUUUUUGUUUUAUUGUCUUUAUAAAAAAAAAAGUAAAAAAAAAUCAAUAUAAGAUGUUGACGUGGUUAAACUGUAACCAUUCAAAUAGGAGGGGAGGGAAGAUGAGAGAUAAGGGAGAGAAUCCUCCUCCUGAAAGAAUAAGAGAGAAGAGGAUACUAAUAGGCAGUGUUUUAAAAAUCUGCCUGGCAACGCCUAGGUGUUACACGACGGCUAGCCAAUGCGAUUAACCCUAGUCGGGAGAAAAAUCGGCAGAGGAAUUAGGCGAGCACCCGAUACGGCCUAGGUAGUGCUUAGGCGGCAUAGAUGGGCAACUCGAUGGCCUAGGCGACCUGGGUGUUUCAGAUAUUUUUUUUUUUUUGGCAGAAGCUGUGUUCUUGUUCUAGGUUCUGUUAUGAGGAAUGGGAUUCUCUUUGGAUUUCUUCCACCAAAUCCACUAAGGCCCGUAAUCCGGCUCUUGGAAUUUGAUCCAACGGUUAAAGUUAUUAUAAUUUUUUGAAAUUUAUUUUUGUUUGUAGCCGUUAGAUCAAAUUUCAAAAAUCCGAAUUGAUUGAUAUGGUGAAUUUAGUGGAAGGAAUCCAGAGAAGAUUCCUUUUCCUAUUAUGGUUCUACGUUUUUUCAAACUGUGUUUCAUUUAAGAAGACGAGAGGAAGAAGAAAAAAGAGAAAUAAAGUUUCUCUCUCUUCCCAUUCCACCCACGUGACAGACAUGACAAUCCACCUUUUUUUUUUAAAUUACUUCCAGUCGAUUCGAAUUGGGAGUUGGAACAGAGUAAGGCCAUCUCCAACCGAAGGGUCCAGAAGGUCAAAAUAGCCCGAAACAAGUCUCCAACCGAGGGCUAGGCCAGAGGGUUCGUGGGCCCCACAAAAUCUAAAUGAGCCAGAGGGCUGGCCAGCCCACUUUGAUUUUUUUUUUCUUUUCACUUGCUCAGCCCGGUUCCCUUUUUGUGUUUUUGUUAUUUCAGCCCACUUUAGGGCCUUCAAUUUUUGGGGUCAGCCCACUUUUUAGUUUUUUUCUUAACAACCCACUUUUUUUUUUGUCGUUUUUUUUAAUUUCUAAUUUUUUCCUACACCAUUUCUCACAUAUUUUUUCACCAUUCCAUACUGUCUUACCUCAUUUUAUUUCAAUUCUUCACAUUUCAUACUAUAGUCUUUUGGCCCUCAGUUGGAGAUGAUUUUUUGUGAUAGGGCUAAAACGAGCCAUUUGGCCCUUGAUUGGAGAUGGAGGCAAAUAUGGCCUUAUAUUGUUUAUUAAAAUCUUAAUAUCUUGGAGAACCAGACGGUUAAAACGAGUCAUCUGACCAGCAUUCGGUUGGAGAUGGCCUAACAUAUAUUGAAUUUGGUAUGGUGUGCCCCACCUGCCUUUUUGGUGUGGUGCGCCCCAUCUCCGUUUUGAUAGAGAUAAUGUACAAAUAGGAUUGUGACACUUGUAAUCAGAUUAAGAGAGUUAGUUAUAGUUGUUAAGAAUAUGCAACUGUAAGAAGGUUCAAGGAUAAAUACUCUCCUAGUGUAAUAUCUUAGAUAUUAAGCAAAGAAAUAAGAAAUAUAUCUCUCUCUAUACAUUUCUCUCUCGACUUCUCUCUCUAAGAUCUUUGUCUAUGAUCUACUUCUUCUUGGUUUACAUGGUAUCAAUCGCCAUUGUUGCUCCCGCUGUUUUCUUCGAUUCUUCGGUUGCUUCCGCUCAUCUUCUCAACCUGUGAUUCUUUCUAUUCCUCGACGUCAACUCAUUGCUGUGUGCUUGGAUGGAUUCUGGUAUUCUUUUCUUCUUCUAUGAUUUCUUCUGUGAUUUAUCGGGUUUCUGGAUUUCUUGAUCUUCUUGCAUCUGUGUUCCAAGAGUGUGCACACCAGGUGUUUGUGAUAUUUCCUCUCUCGAAUUUCUAUCUUCAUUCUGCAAAUAUGGUGACUGCAUCUCAAUUACAAAUUCUCCAAUCGCCUAUUACUGCUCUUAUUUCUACACUUUCCACAUCUGUCAAUGUUAAGCUUGAUGAUUCAAACUAUCUCAAUUGGCACUUUCAAAUGCAAUUAUUGCUGGAAAUUAAUGGAAUUAUGGGGUUUGUUGACGGCUCAACACCCUGUCCUGCUCGAUUUGCACCUAAUUCUGGUGACUCUGGAGUUAAUUCUGCUAACUCAUCAUCUGCUACAGAAACAGGUGAAUAUAUUGUUUGGAAAUUACAUGAUCGUGCAUUUAUGCAGCUUGUCACUGCCACAUUGUCCCUAGUAGCUAUGUCAUGUGCAAUUGGUAGUUCUAGUUCUCGAGAUUUGUGGACUAGGCUUAAGGAACAACUUUCUACUGUUUCCAAGACUAGUAUUUUUUUAGAUGAAGUCAAAUCUUCAAACAAUUAAGAAGGGGUCAGACUCUGUAACUCGAUAUUUACAGAAGAUCAAAGAAGCGAGGGAUUAUUUUUCUGCUGCUGGUGUAUUUCUUGAUGAUGGAGAUAUUAUUAUUCUGGCUCUCAAUGGUUUGCCUCCGGAGUAUAAUACAUUCAGAACGGUUGUUAGAGGCCGAGAAAGUGUUAUGACCAUUAAAGAAUUCUGGUCUCAACUACUUGCUGAAGAAGCAAUUGUUGACAGUCAUCCUAAUGUCCCUUUUCUUUCUGCGAUGGUUGUCAAUACCUCAUCUCCAUGAACAAAGGAUCUCCUAUGUCUCAUCAGUCAUUUAACUCUGAUGGUGGCCAUUCAUAUAAUCAUACUGGGGGUCAGCCAUAUCUUGUAUCUGGAGGAUUCAAGCCGUAUACCAACAAGAACAAAGGUAAUGACAAGUUCAAUGGAGGACAGAGAUACUACACUCCUCGGCCAGUGUAUCAUACACAAACCCAUGUCUUGCCUACACCUACUCCUGGUGUCCUUGGUUCAUCUCCUAGUUAAUUUGGGAAUCCCUCAGCACCUUCAUUGCAGACUUGUCAAUUGUGUAAUGUUGAAGGUCACACUGCACCUUAUUGUUACAAUAAGUCUUCUGACCGCCAACAAUGUCAAAUAUGUGGCAAGUUUAAUCAUACAACUUGGUAUUGUUUUUACAAUGAAAAAGUGCCUUUUUAUAUGGGACCUCAGUUUUUUCAACGGGCAGGUGCUCCAAUGCAGGGAUACUCUUACAAUGUUCCUCAUGUGUUGAAUGGUUCCUAACCUUUUUCACUGUAAGCAAUGAAUACUGUCUUUUCUCCCGCAUCUCAACAUUCACAUAUGGGGUCUAUAACAUCUACCUCUCAGUCACCACAAGUAUGGUUGACAGAUUCAUGAGCUACUACUCAUAUGACAGCUGAUCUUAACAAUUUGUCCAUAGCUUCUCCAUAUCCCAGCAAUGAAGUUGUUCAAACUGCCAAUGGUGAAGGUUUGAGAGUUUCUCACAUUGGCAGUUCCAUUCUUACAACUUCUAAAAAUCCUAUCAAAUUAAAUUCCAUUCUUUAUGUUCCUAAAUUGACACAUAAUUUAUUGUCAGUUCAUAAGUUCUGUUUGGAUAACAAUUGCUGGCUAAUCUUUGAUGCAUUUUACUUCUGGAUGUAGGACAAGGUCACAGGGAGAAUCAUGUACAAGGGCCCUUACAGUAAUGGACUCUAUCAUAUCCACUCACUCUCUACUAGCUUCCAACCUUCCAAAUCUUCCAAUGUUGCUUAUCUUGGACAUCUUGUUGGUUCCAGCUUAUGGCAUACUAGGUUAAGACAUCCAUCCAAUAAUGUAGUUUCCUUACUCCUUAAACAAGCAAAUAUUCCAUGUAAUAAGGAUGUUGUUUCCACUGUGUGUCAAAGCUGUCUCGAGGGAAAAUUUACAAAGUUACCAUUUCCUUCCACUCAUGUCAAGUAUGUCAUACCAUUUCAAAUUGUUCACAAUGACCUUUGGGGUCCUGCACCAUGUAUUUCCAUUGAUGGUUAUAAAUACUAUGUUACUCUCACUGAUGAGCGCACUCGGUUUUGUUGGUUGUUUCCCUUAUAGAAUAAAUCUGAUUUCAUUGAUGUGUUUGUUACAUUCUGUGCAUUUGUCUCCACUUAGUUCUCUACUUCUGUGAAAAUACUACAAACUGAUUGGGGGGUGAGUACAUUAGUAAUAAGUUACAAACCUUUCUGCAAUCUAAAGGUAUUGUACAUCAUAAAUCUUGUCCCUAUACACCUGAACAUAAUGGGUUAGCUGAGAGGAAACAUAGACAUAUCAUUGAAACUACUGUCACAUUGUUACAAUAUGCCAACCUUCCUUCUCAAUUCUGGACCUUUGCUUGUCAAACAACGAUUUACCUAAUCAAUAGGAUGCCAACACCAGUCUUACAAAAUCAAUCUCCUUUUCAAGCAUUGUAUGGACAUAAUCCUGUCAUUACUCAUCCAAGAGUAUUUGGUUGUUCUUGUUAUCCUUUACUUAGACCUUACAACACAUCCAAACUUUAAGCUAAGACAACCAAGUGUGUUUUUCUGGGGUAUACUUCCAAAUAUAAGGGUUAUAUCUGUUAUGAAGUGUCAAAAGAAAUUUUUUUUGUCUCCAGACAUGUUCUCUUUAAUGAGAUUGAGUUUCCUUAUCUUAGUCUCCUCCAAUUGUCCAAACAAACAAGUACUUCACAUAUCUCUUUUCAACCUUCAUCUCUUACACCAGUUUCUAAUAAUCAGAAUAUUUUGGUAGUGCCUAUUCCUCAGGCUCCUUCCCCAAUCUCUCCACUUGUUAUUCCAAUCCCUGACUUUAGUGUCUUUGUCUCUAGUCCAGUUGUUCAUUCUCCAAACCUGGUUGCAUCACCCUCAUUUUCCUCAUCACCUACUUCUCCAUCAUUACUGCUAUAACAAGUGAUACUAUUCCACUCCUUGUGGAUCCUGAGUUUAGUCCAGAUAGUUUGCAAGUGGUGUUACCUAUUGCACCAUUGAAUAUGCAUCCUAUGCAAACUAGGGGUAAGAAUGGUAUAGUCAAACACAAGGCUUUCUUGAGUGCUUUAGAGACAUCUGGAGAAGUUGAUAUGUCUCUCAUUGAACCGAUUACAUAUAAGUCUGCUAUGAAAUCAUCUAUGUGGUUAACUGCUAUGAAGGAAGAGAUUGAUGCCCUUCAUUCUCAAGGUACUUGGUCUCUUGUAUCUCUUCCAUCUCAGAAAAACCUAGUAGGAUGUAAAUGGAUCUUUAAAAUCAAGAAGAAUUCUGAUGGUUCUAUUGCACGACACAAAGCUCGAUUAGUUGCAAAGGGAUUCAGUCAAGAUGAAGGAUUGGACUAUAGAGAGACAUUCAGUCUAGUGGUUAAGCCUACCACAAUGAGACUAGUCUUAGCCUUAGCUACUCAGUUUCAUUGGUCUUUAAGGCAGCUUGAUGUGAAAAAUGCAUUUUUGCAUGGCAUCCUGCAGGAAGAAGUUUACAUGGCACAACCACCUCGAUAUGCAAUCCCUGUGCAUCCUCAUUUUGUUUGCAAGUUACAUAAAUCUUUAUAUGGCUUGAAGCAAGCCCCAAGGGCCUGGAAUGAGAGAUUCACAACAUUCAUUCCUUCCCUCGGGUUCAACACAACAUAUUCAGAUUCAUCUCUAUUUGUGAAGCAUGUUGGUUCUGAGAUAGUGAUCUUACUUCUUUAUGUUGAUGACAUAAUCUUAACUGGGAAUGCUACAGCUGCUAUACAACAAGUAAUUCAUUCUCUUACUACUGAGUUUGAUAUCAAGGAUUUGGGUACACUUCAUUAUUUUUUGGGCAUUCAAAUAUCUCGCACAGCCACUGGGUUGUUCUUAUCACAGACCAAGUACAUUCAAGACUUGUUGCACAUGACAGAAAUGAGUGAUUGCAAACCUUGUGACACUCCAUGUUUGCCUUAUAAUCGAUUGCUGAAGGAUGAUGGGGUUCCAUUUUCAGACCCUGGUACAUACAGAAGUAUAAUUGGUGUUAUGUAGUACCUAACUUUCACUCGCCCAGAUAUUGCAUUCUCAAUACAUCAAGUGUCCCAAUUUAUGCAACAACCUAUGGUCUCUCACUACACUGCUGUCAAACGCAUUCUGCGUUAUUUGAAAGGAACAUUGUCUUCUGGUAUUACUUAUGCUGCUGGUGAAAUUGGUUUAAAAGCUUUUAGUGAUGCCGACUGGGCCGAUGAUCCUAAUGACAGACGAUCUACAACCGGGUUAGUUGUUUUCUUGGGAUCAAAUCCAAUCUCAUGGUCUUCUAAGAAACAACAAACGGUCUCUCGAUCGUCCACCGAAGCAGAAUAUCGAGCCAUGUCCUUUACUGCUGCUGAACUUGAUUGGAUUCAACAACUUCUUACAUUCCUGAACAUUCAAAUGUCUUGUGCUUCUGUGCUUUUCUGUGAUAACUUGUCUGCAAUUGCUCUUUCAUUUAAUCUGGUUCAACAUCAAAAGACCAAGCAUAUUGAAGUAGAUGUUCAUUUUGUUCGUGAAAGGGUUGCUAAAAAGUAGUUACUUGUGCAGUUUGUAUCUUCUCGAGAGCAGUUUGUAGACAUCCUUACCAAAUGUCUCAGUGCACCACUCUUUCGAACUCACUGUAGCAACCUCAUGCUUGGUUCUUCUCCCAUCCAUGAGUUUGAGGGGGGAUGAUAGAGAUAAUGUACAAAUAGGAUUGUGACACUUGUAAUCAGAUUAAGAAAGUUAGUUAUAGUUGUUAAGAAUAUGCAACUGUAAGAAGGUUCAAGGAUAAAUACUCUCCUAGUGUAAUAUCUUAGAUAUUAAGCAAAGAAAUAAGAAAUAUAUCUCUCUCUCUAUACAUUUCUCUCUCGACUUCUCUCUCUAAGAACUCUGUCUAUGAUCAACUUCUUCUUGGUUUACACGUUUCUAUAGACUAAGUCUACCACAUAUUUGACACCUUUAGUUUUCUUUUAAAUUCACCAUAUAUUCAUAGUCUUAGAAAAAUAUUUAAUAGGCAAUACAAUCUUAUAAUUAUUUGAAUUUUCAUCUCAUACUAUUAAAUUCAUUAAAAUAUUAAAUAUAUGUAAUACAUUUAUUUAAAUUUAUCUAAAUUCGACCAAACGAUGGACUCCAACUUACCGUUUAAUUAGCGCCUAAUAUUUUUUAAAACUUUAGUAAUAGAAAAGGGGAGAAUUUUACUCUCAACAGUUUUAGUUCAGAUUCCAUCAUGAAUUAACUACGGAAAAUGAAACAAACUUUGCAUUGUGCAUGGUAUUCAAGAUCGAUCGAUGGCAGAUUUGAAUCAAAGAGGAAAUCACAUGGUUUAGAUUUCAUUGUGUUACGUCUGCAACCCUAUCAAGACGAAUACAAAAAUAACCAAGCACGGAUUGUUGAAAAGCAAAUUGUCCACUGGUUUCCUUGAUUCAGGUUGCUAUGAUUUACUUAAGUGGAUUGGACAAAUGUAGGGCCUAGAUUUAAUCUAUCUAUAUAAGGCUUAUAUGCCUUUAUAUUAUAGACAAGUGUCUUUGUAUUGUUUAAAAGAGGAUAUUUUCUUUUGUAAGUGUUGACCUUAAAAACUACCAAGCCUACGUGGCGCACUGACCGAGUAAUUAAUGAGCUAACUACGUCCUUUGGUUGAUGCGGGGCGUGCCAACUCGUCGGCCGAGCUCGGCCGAGGAGUAAAAUGUGUUGAUGUUGCGUUGAGCGCGCGGCUGACUUCUCGAUCUUGCGACUGCGGUCGAGAAAGGAACACGUCACGACCUUUGGGUUCUAGAGCCUGAAGACAAGGCUGCUAAUUUUGCGAAGUUCACAAAUCGUCGGCACCGGAUUCGAUCACAGUGAUUAUAUUUGUAAGGGUAUAAGCAUGUUGAAUCGACACAAGAGUAUAGGGGCACAUAUACUCAAAACAAAUAUAUGUCUUGAUGGUAAAUGUGGUUCGGCUGUCAGAAUGCCGAACUCUAAAGCUUACUUGUGAGUAUCCAAUCAUAAAUCAACUCGGCGUUCAAUGUGCCGAGCCCUAAUAAACUGUAACACCUCACCUCGCCGAAAAAGCUAAUGAGAUGACCUCUGCCAAUAAAGACCCGAAAGUCUUUCUCGACCAAGACUUGGAUAGAUAACCAGUUGGCCUCGACGCAGUGCUGUUUAUCCAAACUAAAAGUGUUCCGCGGUCGGUUGGUUCUACGGCGAUAGUGCUGUUUAUCCAAACUGAAGGUAUCACCGGUUGCCUUCACAAUGCUGUUUAUCCAAACUGAAGAUGUGUUGGCGGAAAAAGAAAAUAAAAAAUCUCAAGGUUGUUGAGAGAGUUUGCGUAGGGCAAUUUGUGUGUUGAAUUGGAUUGGGCUUUGAAUGAUGUACCCCUCCCUCUAUUUAUAGUAACAAACCUUCUUUUGAUCGAAUUAAACCUUUACUCGGAUUAGGACUCUUUACGCCGAUCCAAUCUCAUCUCGGCCAGUCCUACUCCUAUUAGGACUUUGAACUCAACCCCUUAUCAGGCCAUAUUCAUUCCCAAGUUUCAGCAUCCUCAUCCUGCAAAGACUCCUUAUUGUAUCAGGAUUCAACUACCCCAUCCUGAUAGGACACGGCCAGCCCCUGAACAACGCUUCCGGGCCGAGAACGAUUCUAAACUAGGCCCAAACCAGUAUUUUGGGCCCAAACAGUAAUGAAUGGAGGAGGAGGAUUCUCUCAUUUCCUAAUCUCUCUCCCCUUCCUUUCCCUUCUACUUGAAUGGUUACGGUUAAAUCACGUCAAUAUUUUAUAUUGUUUUUUUUAUAAAGACAAUAAGGCAAAAAGUAAAGUGUGAGAGGAAGGGAAGGAAAAUGAUGAGAAUAGGAGAUGAGAGAAUCUUACUUCGUCUGGGCACUGCUAUGAUCCAUGCAGCAGUAGUAGCCUUUCAAUUCAACUAGGGGCGGAGCCAAAGGUCAUUAUGUGUUGAUGAGGUGGGAGAUGGAUUGUCUACCCUCUCCAUCCCAUACCCUUCACAUCCUCUCCUAUUUCUGUGGUCACGGUUAAGCCACGUCAACAUUUUAUAUUGAUUUUUUUAUAGAAAUAAUAAGACAAAAAGCAAUGGGAAUAUAAAAUGUUGAUGUGGCUUAACCGUGACCACAGAAAAUAGGAGGGGAUGGGAAGGGUGUGAAAUGGGGAGGGCAGACAAUUCAUCUCCGAUGAGGUGUGGGGUUCCUUGGCUUCAUCCUCCAUGGCAUUCUUUUGUGGACUAUGUGGCGGCCCACUGACGGGGGAAAUUUAUUUUGUGAUGGUUAAAAAGCUCUCUUGCGGUUACAUCCUAUUGUAUAUGGUGUGAACGGAAUAAACGCAUGUUUAACAAUCAUAAGAAAAUUUUUGCUGCUCUUCUUCAAUCGAUCACUAAUAUAAUUCGGUGUCGGCUGUGUACUUUGCAUGUUAAGCCCUCAACCAUUUACAUGACGAUCUUCCAAAGUUGGAAUGCUGCUGCUCCUUAGGCUCUAGGCUUUCUUGUCGUCUUCCCUUGCGUGGGUUAGGCUUUGUUUUGGGAUUGUUUCCCCUUUGUUUUGUUGGUGCUUUGAGAGUUUCUCUCUGCUUGUUCCAUAUUCUCAUUGGGCUUUGCCCUGUUAAUAUUACUCUUUAACAAAAAAAAAAACUUCAUAUAUAUUUGUUAGUGUAUUGCAUUUGAACCUAAUAAACAGUUAAGAUAAACUAAAUUACAACAUUCUUCUUCUACUUCUUCUAAUUUCCUAUCAUUUGUCUUCCUUUUCUCUCUUUUUGUUUGUGACUCUAUUUUGCGCAUCAUGUUCUCAAUGAAAUACUUUAGUUGAAAAGCUUGGCAGGGCUUCAACAUUACUUCAUAGUAUCAUGCAUCUACUAUCGACAAGCCUCUACAAAUAAUAGCAAUUGUCAACAUAUGUGACAUAAAUUUUCGACAUAUGUUGAUAGAAAUUGGCACAUGCUUACUAGAUGCUUGAUCCAAUGAAGGUUUUUUUUGUUUGUUGAUAUUAUAAUCACAUUAUUCUAAAAUCUUGACUACGCCACUAAAUUCAACUCCAAAAGUUUCCAUCUCUUUCACCUUUUACACCUUUUCUUCUUCUUGACUUUUCCUCUUUGAUUUAGAAAAACGAAAUAACACAGAUAGUGUUGAAACCUGAUUCCAUAACAAAAGCAAUAGAGGUAAUUGGUUGUACGAGGGAAGAAAAAAAUGAUAGAAGCAAUCGUAUAAAUUAACAUCACUAGUCAUCACCACAGAAGCAAAACUUUCAACAACUCUUACAUUUAUUACCAUGCCGAAACAAUUCCAACGGGAUGAGGAUCCGAAAAAUGGCCGAUAUUAUUGGGUUGUUGAGCUUAUACAAUAACAAAUAAUAAAAUCUUAUUCCACUAAGUUGAAUUGGUUAUAUGAAUUCUAGAACAUCAUUGUGCUCGAUUUUAUGUCAUGUCUUCUAUUAGAUUCAAAUAGUCAAAAUCUUUUCUUAGGAUUGUUGAGCUUAUACGAGAUGUACCUCAAAAUUGUUGAGCUUAUACGAGAUGUUAUUUUCAUUUACAAGCUUAAGAGUUAUUAGGACAACAUGCAGCAUAUACAAGAUUCACGACCGGUGUGAUUCCGGCUUGUGAAGGCGAGCCUAUGCACAUGUGAGUCGUACUUAACACUAGAAUGCCCUGCACCCAAGGUAUUAAAUAUCGAUGAUAUCGGAAAUAUCGGUAGUCCAAAAACACGGAAAUAUCGAUGGAAAUAUCGGGAUAUUAUCGAUAUCGAUAAAAAUUAUAUGGAAACCAUGGAAAUUGUAAGAAAAACUUGGAAAUUUUUAUUGAAACUUUGCAGGAUGUUUAUUUAGUCAAUUAUCUAUUAGUUUAUCACAAAAAAUUGGAAGGAAAUAUAUUGCAUGAUGGAUUUAACUUAUUUAAGUUGAUUAUAUAGCGAGCUGGCAAACAUUGUGAGUGUAGAAAAUAUGUAGUAAUUAAUGAAAGAAGUUUAAACACACCAUAAUCAUUUAUAUAGAAUGAAUUAGUACAAUAUUUUACACUUUAUACAUUGCAUGGUAAGAUACAUGAGUGACUUAGUACCACAUAGAGUUCCUAUGAGGUUCAAAUUUUUCACUAUCUUCAUGGUAAAAUGGAUGACUUAAUACCACAUAGAGUUCGACUUAGCAAAAUGGGAGGGGUUCGAAUCCCCUUGGUGUUUUUUUAAAUAUAGAAAUUUAUCCUAGAUAAUAAAUAUUAGCUUUCAAGCCUUGCAGACAUCUUAACGACCAUAUAAAUAUUACAGGCUGAAUAUGUAAUCACAAACCAAGGUUCUAAAAAAAUUUUAGGCGCUAGUCGGGCGGCGGGUAAAGGCCUAGCGCCUAGGCGGCCUAGGCGGAUUUAUAUAAAUUUAUUAUAUAUCUUCUAAAUAAAUGCUUAUUUACACUAAAAAAAUAUACUUGUAUAGAUAAUAAAAGAAUUAUAAAAUACAAAACUAAUACACAAAGUACAUCUCCAACCCUUGGGGAUAAAACUUAAAAAUUUAAGCCAUAAAAUUUUAAGUCAUACCUCAGAAGUUGUUUUUCUCCUCCAACCCUUAUGACUUAAAAUUUUAGUCUGAAAUUAUUAAAUAAUGAUUUUAGCCUAAUUUUUUCUUUUUGGUAACAUUUUUGAAAAUAAAAUAAAUAUAGAUUAUUUUAAUUUAUUUUUAUGAACAUUUUAUUAUAAAAAUAUAUAAAUUCCAAUAAGUAAUUAAAAAUCAUACAAAUGCGUAGGUAUUUAUAAAGUUUUAAGUUAAAUUUGAUUUAAAUUAUUUUCUUAAAUGAUUUUAGACGUUAGAUUUAAUUUUGGGCCGUCAAAUCUUUUUUUACUAUUAGAUUUGAUCUCAUUUGAUCAUAGCGGUUAGAUUAUAAGUAACAAACAAAACAAAGUUUGAAAUAUGACAGUUUAGUGGAUUCAGAAUAAUUUAAGCCAGGCAUGAGAAAAUUUAGCCCAGGGAUAUAUUUGCUUCCUAGGGCUUAUUUUAGCCCAAUAGUUGGAUAUGGUUUGGGGAGAUUUUAAGCUUUAUGCCAUAAGUUGGAGAUGGUCUUAGUGAAUAAGAAGCUAGUUUGAAAUUGUUGGAAUGAGUAUCCUCUCCGAAUUCUUUUUGUGAGGAUCCUGGAGAUCCUCAAAUCGUGUCUGUUCAUCAUACAUCGUGCAUCUAGAAAUCAUUUUAAAUACUUUUAUUUUAUAUUAAAUAUGAAUAGUACCUGACUAAAACUGACCAUACAAUAUACGAUCAACAGACAUGAUUUGAGGAUCCUCCUGGAAAUUGUUGUGCAUUUUAAAAAACUGUUUUUGUUGUGCUGUGUGUCACAGCCCGUCCCGAGAUAUCUAAUUUCGACGGCGUGAGAUUACUUAUUUACCCUGGAUGUGUUGUGUGGUGGUGUGGUAGGUUAGAAUUUGGACCAAUUAGUGCUACGUCCUAUUAUUUUGGAACCAAUUAGGACUUAGACUCUCUCUCUCUCCUCCUUCACAGAUUUUUCUGAAAAUCCGUACAAUUGUACGCACGAACUUGGAACCAACCCUUUCACGCACGAAUCAACGUCAAGAAGGUAAGAUUCAAACUCCUUGCAAGUCUCUGAGUUCAUAUAUGCCAUUUUUAGAUCUUGAAACCCUCAAAAUCCCGAGAAACCAUAACCCCAUAUUUCAUGCACUGUUCAUGCACUAAUUAAUGUGAGGUUUUUAGGAGUUUUUAAAGACAUAAGGAGCUUUGAAUCAUCCUUACGAAGCUCAGAGAAGAAAAACCAAGCGAUUUGGAUGUCGCGAAAUCGAGUUUGACAAGUUUUAAGUUUUCGCCGGAUUAUCGAGCUCUCUUCGGUGAGUUUUCGUGGAUUUCAAGCCUUGAAAUUGGUAAGGAUGUGUUCUUCUAGUUAUAAGCUUUAAAUUGAGACCAAUUUCAUGAGUUUUGGUUAAGAAAUGACUGAGAUAUCAAGGUUUUUCAAAUUCCCAGUUUUCCGACGACGGCGACGGUCACCGGAGUCGAAGGAAGAAAACGAGCGAAUAUUCCGUCAACUUUAACGGAAUAUUCUAAAGGCGUCAGGUUAGUUUUAACGGUAUAUGCUAUUAUUUAACGGAAUAUUCCCUAACGCCGUUAGGGUUACCGUCAGUGUGCCUGGCACGUGCCCGCGCGUGGGCGGCGCGUUUGGCAGUGCCUUGGCUAGCACGUGACGGCGCGUGGGUGGUCGAAAUUUUUUUCGAAAAAUAUGGGGAUGUUCGUGAGGUUGUGUAGAUCACGUUGGUAUAUUCAAACAUCCCAUUUGAGCAUUGUAUGAGAAGUUAUUAGCUAGUAUUGGUUAUGUGCUUUAAAUAACGUUUUUAUAGUUGUUUCACAUAUAGGGGAGACUUAUCCCGAGGACGAGCGCAGUCAAGGACGACUUGGGGGCUACGACCCUUCGACAUACCAAUGAGUGGGCUUUUGGUUUUCAGUAUAUAUUUAUAUACUCGAUAUUUUUCCAGAAAAUGCGUUUAAAUGAAAGUAUGCUUUGAAAUGUCAUGCAUAUAAAUUUAUAUUCUGAAUAUGAAAUAGUAUAUGAUGCAUAUGUAUGAUUGUGGUGUUGUGGACGCUCAGGUAAGCCCAGGUGAGUUUAUGAAUUGUGAAUGUGAAUAAUGGUUGUAAUUAAUUGAGAAACAUUGAACUCAUAAACCUGCACCCUGGUAUUAGUGAUUAGCCAAAGAUAUGGCACAUGCAUGUAUAUAAUGUCACCUCUCACACCAUAUGCUCACAUUGGAUCCAAUUUAGGUGCACAGUCUUGUCGUACAGACCAUCAUAGGUGGUUCCGACUCGUAGGUGACUAGCGUUUUAUCACAUAGCUAUCAUGAAUGCGUAGCAUUGAGCAUAACUAUAUUACACCCAGUCUUGUCGUACAGACCUUUUCAGUGGUUCCGACUCGUGUGCAGUGUAGUGCCGUAUAGGUCAUUUGCAGUGACUCCGGCUAGAUUGACUAAUGAGCUAUGAAUUCAACCGUACAGACUUCUGCAGGGGUUCCGGCUAAUAUGUUAUUUUCCAUGAAUUUAUUUUCACCUAAGUUACUUAUUCUGUUUUAUUUUUGGCAUGGCAUACUUAUGAUUAUGGAUAUGUGAAGCAUGAUUUGAAUAUAUAUAUUUAUAUAUUUAUAUUCUAUUUAUGGGAAAAUUAUACGUGUUUUACGGCAAGGGGUUAGAGCAUUGUUAACGAAAUGAUUUUGAAAAGCUUUGUUUUUGCCCACUCACACUUUCUGUUUUGCUCCUCUCCAGGAUUUAGGUAGACUUGUUGUUGGUGGCAUUUGAGGAUCUCGGUGGUUCUGACAAAAUAUAAUAUUAGUAGGACAUCUUAUGGUACUAUAUAACUAGUACUUGUCCUACUGGACUGCACCUAGACUUUCUAUGCUCUGAUUAGGUGUAUUUACACUUGUAUCUCAUUCCUAGCACUUUCUGCUUAUUAGUGCACAUUAGUAGCUUUCGGUUUUUAAUUAUUCGUAUAUUUCUUAUCCUUAUCACUUCCGCACUAUGCACAUAACUACGUCACCCUCACGUGAUGGCCAGCACGCCUUGAUUUUGGUCGGGGUGUGUCAUGUGACAAUAAAUAGCUGUAAAAUAAAGUUGUUGAGUCUUUGGUAAAUUUUUUUUUUUUUUUGUAAAAGUACUUUUAUUUAAAAAAAAAUAGUGUCUAAGUGUUUGGUAAAUUUUUAUAUAAAUUACUUUGAAUAUGUUAAAUGACUAAAAAUGAUAUGGUAUUUAAUUUGAUAUAAUAAUUUUCAAAGACAAUAAUGUAAAGACAAAGAUUGUAAUUUUGUAAAACAUGUUGGGGUAUUUUUGUCAUUUGAAAAUUUCAUUAAAUGAGCAUUGAUUACUAUGCUUUGAAAAAAAACAAUUUUUUUUAAAAUCAUGAUAGACCUUGAUUCUUCUUUUCUACUAUCAUUAACAGCACUUAAAAAAUAUUUUUUAUUUUAUGAAACACAUUUUAUAUUUCAAAUUUUGUAAUAAGCUUUUUUUUAUUAUUUAUAAACUCUACAAUCCCAAAGUAACUCUUAUAAAAAAAAUUAAAAAAAAUAAGUUCACCAAUGUGGCGUUUCUAUUGUAAUAAUUAGCAGAUGAGCACAUACUCUUUGUGUGUGAACAAUUUCAUUUUAGUUUUUGUUAUUGAUUAAUGAGUGUGAUUAGUUUUUAAAAUUUUAAAAAGAGUAUGGAAUAAUGAUGAUGAGAUAAUUUCUCUUGAUAAAUGCAUAUUUUUUCUUUAUAAUUACUGUUUCGUCCUCCUUAAUAGGAAAAAAGGGCAAAAGGUUCAAAAGAUAUAAAAUUACUAUUUUACCUUCCUUAUGUAAACUUUGUGUAUCAAAAGUAAGAGCAAAAUAAAAUUAAAAAGUUGCAAAAUAUUAAAAAGAAGGGUAAAAGACUGUUUACUACCCUAAUGUUUCGUGGUUUUCAACAUUUAGUACAUCAAGUUGGGUGGCUAGCCACCAAAUGAAGUUGAAUAAUAGUGCCAAAUUGGGUGGCUAGCCAACGCCAAGCACAUUGUGCAAAGUCACAACUAGAAAAUAAGUGGUCAAUAGAUUCAGAAUUCUUGUGACAAAGUUGGCACUAUUAUUCAACCUACGGGCUCCCUCUCUGAUCUAUGGCUUGAUUUUCUGUCAAAGCGGUUUUCUCCACAUCUUCGCAAUGUCUGGCUAGCUUCAGGGUUUUUCUUACUCAUGGCUAUUUGGAAGAUGCGUAAUAAAGUGAAGUUUGAAGGCAAACCUCCCUCCUUCUCACGUCUCUGCCGCUCCACCUUGGCCUGGAUUAGGCAGGUUGGAGCUCUCACCCCUGGACAUGUACGAGGCAUUUUGGACCGGCAACUUUUAGUCUCUCUUGGAAUAUCGCCUAACCCCUGUAAAGCCCCUUCUAUUGUCCCUGUUCUUUGGCACCCCCCUCCUUCUUCUUGGAUCAAAGUGAAUACUGAUGGCCUUGCUAAAGGUAAUCCGGGUCCUGCGGCUUGUGGCGGGGUUUUUCGAGAUUCUAUGGGUUACUUUCUUGGUGGUUUCUCCCUAAGCUUGGGCCAUCGUACUUCUUUCUAUGCGGAGCUCCAUGCUGUCAUCCUUGUUGUCGAAUUGGCCCACGCGCAAGGCUGGAAAAAUUUAUGGCUUGAAAGCGACUCUUCGAGUGUAAUAUCAUGUUUUGCUUCUGGAUCUUUCUCUCCCCCUUGGUCGCUCCAGACACGCUGGAACAAUUGUACUCUCCUUUUGCAGAACAUGGUUUUUCGUUGCUCUCAUAUUUUUCGAGAAGGGAAUGUUGUUGCUGACAAAUUAGCCAAUUUAGGGCUUCUAUCAUCUUCACUUGUCUGGCAUUCCACUCCCCCAAUUGAGAUCCUCCCUCCUCUGCACUCAAAUUUCUUGGGCAUGCCAACCUACAGGUUUGUCUCCUCUUCUUGAUGUGUCUUCUCCUUUCUUUUCCUAACCUUUUUGGAUUCCCUUUUGUUUUGCAGUUUGUUUUGCAGGUUAUUACCUUUUAAGGUUUAUAGAAGGGUUUGGGCUUAUGUCCGCCUAGUCUUUUCCUUGUAUUUUCUUUUUCCAAGAGGGGUACGGUCUAUGUCCCCCCUCUUUUUCUGGCAUUUCCUUUCUCAAAAGGGGUAAGGUGCAUGUCCCCCCCUUUUCUUUUGUAUUUCUUUUCUCUUGUUGUAUGAGGGGUUAGGUUUAUGUCCCCCCCUGUCUAGGUGUAACUUCUUUUUUCUUAUCAAUAAAAUUCCCUCGUACCGCCGAGGUUCUCCAAAAAAAAAAAAAAAAAAAAAAAAAAAAGGAAAGGAAGGAGGAAGGAAGGAAGAAGCAAAAAAAAAAAAAAAAAAAAAAAAAAAAAAAAGCAGAAAGUUGCAGUCGGAGGAAGAAGAAGAAGAAAGAAGAAGAAAAAAGAAAAAAAAAAAACGUGGAUGACACGUGGCGCCCACUCAGUGCGCCACGUCACAGUUAACGAAAAACUUAACAGUUUGACUAACGGAUGUAUGAGACUGUCCCAAAAUUUACACUUUAGGUAUGACUCUGAGACGAAAAAAACAUGAUGUACUAAAUGUUGAAAAUCACGAAACAUGAAGGUAGUAAACAGUCUUUUAACUAAAAAGAAUGAUUCUCUUAAUAAUAGUAUAGAUAUAAUAUUCAGUUCUCUCUCCGUACCAUCACAUUACUUGAGAAGGACUGCACGACGACUGUAAACUUUGCAUAAAAUUUGCGCGUGACGUUGACUAUCCUAACCCAACUUUUUCAAGACAAGUCUCGAUCAAAGAUAGGUGCAUCCACAUUACUAGACUCUCAUCAUAAACAAAAUAAAAACAAGGCCAAAGGAAGGCGUCUAAUAAAUUGCUGGCUGUAAAAAACUUACUCGUGUCUGAACGUUCCAAUUCAUCAAUGCUCUCAAUUUCCUUCAUCGUUUCUGAUUUUCUUGAUGCUAAAGCCAUAUGCUUCACAUCAUCUUCUUGAUAUCAGAUUUCGUUUCUCUACCCUUGAUUCCCAAUUUUUUGUGUUUUUCUCCGAGCAACUGUUUGCUCACACAAACCAAACAGCUAGAGUUCAGUGUGGGGUUGUUGGAUGCUCAUACUAUAUGGCAGAACAAAUUGUAUGCUUUGUGAUCGAAAAGUUAAUUAAACUACUCAUCACCACAGAAGCAAACCUUUCAAGAGACGUAUGCAAAGAAGUUGGUUUCAUCAAAGAUGAGCUAGAGAGCAUCCGAUUAUUCCUCAAGGACGCAGAUGCUAAGGCGGCAGAAGAUGGAGAGACGACAAAUGACAGUGUCAAAACUUGGGUCAACCAAGUAAGAGAAGCAGCUUUUUACAUUGAAGAUGUCAUUGAUGAAUAUUUGCUUCGUGUCACAAGGCACCUUCAAGAUCGUGGAUUUAUUCCGCUUUUCCACAAAAUUAUCCGGUUGGUAAAAAAAAUGAGAUCACAGGAUGGGAUAGUUUCGAAAGUUGACCGUAUGAAAGAAUUGGUUCGUGGUAUUCAGGAAAGAAGACAAAGAUACGAACUCAGUUCCAUUGACCGGCAAGGUCGAGAUAAUGGCGAAAAGACUCUUCUGUGGUAUGACCCUCGAGUGGCUUCCCUUUUCAUUGAGGAGGCUGAAGUGGUGGGGAUUGAAUCUGCCAGAAAAGAGCUAACUGAUUUGUUGGUCGGAGGAGCGCCGAGACGCGAAGUGAUAUCUGUGGUUGGCAUGGGAGGACUUGGGAAGACAACUCUUGCCAGGAAAGUUUAUGAUAGUCUGACGGUGAUGGACCACUUUAAAUGCUACGCUUGGAUUACGGUGUCCCAGUCGUAUAGGGUGGAGGAUCUUCUGAGGACGGUAGUCAAAAUGUUCUACAAUUCAAGAAAGGAGAACUUCCCAGAGGACAUUGACACAACGGACGAGGAGUCCCUGAUCAGAAAAUCAAGAGAGUAUUUGCAGCAAAAGAGGUACGUUGUUGUGUUUGAUGAUGUGUGGAAAGUAAAGUUUUGGGAGGCUAUAGAACAUGCAUUACCGGAUAAUAAAGGCGGCCGAAUAAUGAUUACUACAAGGAUUCAAGAAGUUGCGGAUUUUUGCAAAAAAUCUUGUUUCGUUCAUGUCCAUCACUUGCAACCUCUGCCUCCGAAGAAUGCAUGGAAAUUGUUUUGUAGAAAGGCAUUCCAGUUUGAAUUGGAGGGAAAUUGCCCUCUAGAGUUAGAAGAUAUGUCACGGGAAAUCGUUAAGAAGUGCGAGGGGCUACCUUUGGCAAUUGUUUGCAUAGGUGGUCUGCUGUCAACGAAAGUUAAAGUGGUGUCUGAAUGGCAGAAGUUAUACAAUAGCUUAAGUUCAGAGUUGAAAAGCAAUCCUCAUCUUACAGGCCUCACAAGAAUCCUAUCCCUCAGCUAUGAGCAUCUACCAUAUUACCUCAAAUCGUGUGUCUUAUACUUUGGCAUCUUUCCAGAGGACUACUCAAUUAAUUGCGUAAGAUUGAUACGGUUGUGGAUUGCUGAAGGGUUUGUAAAAUUGAAGAAGGGCAAGACACUGGAAGAGGUUGGAGAGGAAU
rnacentral:lncRNA from 1 species